rnacentral:misc_RNA from 1 species
UAGACAUCUUCCUCAAGGUGCACUCUCUUACAUGUAAUCUCUUUGUCUGCUCUGCAGCACCUUAAUUAUGCCUCACUAAAAUGUUUCAGAUUAUUCAGUUCAUAUCAUGGAUCUUUUGAUGAUUCAAAAAAUCUUAAUUCCAGAACAUCAAUAAUAAUUCUUGACAAUCAACCAUAUGAAAAUUAGCUCUCAUCUCUAAGAGCAGCUUCUUAGUCAUUUUCGUUUCAUAAAUAAAUUUUGAAGAGGAGGGGUGCCAUGGUUUGAACAUCCUCACCUUCUGCACUAAGAGGCAUGCGCCAACCUUAUAUCCAGCUUAAUCUUGUGCCAGUUUAGCCUUCCUAUGCUGUUCAAUUAUUAAACUAUAAUUUCAAUCAUGAACCUUUAUGUAGAUAUUGAUUGAAUUGUCAAUAGAUUACUAACUUAUUGCGAUUCAUUGAUGAUCUUUACCCAUCAUUACGCAAAUAUAUCCUAUCCUGAGUGGGAACUAAAUGUGGAACUUGUAGCAUUCUUACAUCUUCAUGGACUUCCUUCAAGAGAAGUUCACCUAUUGAUCUGCCUCUCUCCUUAUAAUUAUUCUGAUAGGCUCAUCCUGCUUUACGUGACAUGGAGAGGAAGAAAGUGUGCAGUUUGAUGGAUUGUCAGAAG